rnacentral:rRNA from 1 species
AGGGUUUGAUCAUGGCUCAGGACGAACGCUGGCGGCGUGCCUAACACAUGCAAGUCGAACGGGGUUAUUUGAGAGCUUGCUUUUGGAUAACCUAGUGGCGGACGGGUGAGUAACGCGUGAGUAACCUGCCUUUCAGAGGGGAAUAACAAUCUGAAAAGAUUGCUAAUACCGCAUAACAUCUAAUUGUCGCAUGGCAGAUAGAUCAAAGGAGCAAUCCGCUGAGAGAUGGACUCGCGUCCGAUUAACUAGUUGGAGGGGUAACGGCCCACCAAGGUGACGAUCGGUAGCCGGACUGAGAGGUUGAACGGCCACAUUGGGACUGAGACACGGCCCAG